CGGACGGGUGAGUAAUGCCUAGGAAUCUGCCUGGUAGUGGGGGACAACGUUUCGAAAGGAACGCUAAUACCGCAUACGUCCUACGGGAGAAAGCAGGGGACCUUCGGGCCUUGCGCUAUCAGAUGAGCCUAGGUCGGAUUAGCUAGUUGGUGAGGUAAUGGCUCACCAAGGCGACGAUCCGCAACUGGUCUGAGAGGAUGAUCAGUCACACUGGAACUGAGACACGGUCCAGACUCCUACGGGAGGCAGCAGGC
rnacentral:rRNA from 1 species